AUGGCGACGACGGCGAUCCCGUGCGUGACCCUGAACACGGGCCACGAGAUGCCGGUGCUGGGCUUCGGCACCGGCUCCUCGCGCGUGCCCGCCGACCUGCCGGACACCAUCGUGCACGCCGUCCGCCUCGGCUACCGCCACCUCGACACGGCCGCCAUGUACGGCACGGAGCCGGCCGUGGGCGCAGCCGUCGCCGAGGCCGUCCGCUCAGGCGCCGGCGGGAUCUCCUCGCGCGAGGACCUCUUCGUCACCUCCAAGCUCGGGAUCCCCAACGCGCGCCCGGGCCGCGUCGUCCCGGCGCUCCGCGAGUCCCUCGCCCGCCUCGGCCUCGACUACCUGGACCUCUUCCUCGUCCACUGGCCCGUCGCCGCCGACAACCCGGCGGACAAGGCCACGCUGGCGGAGUUCGACAUGGAGGGCGUGUGGCGCGGCAUGGAGGAGUGCCGCCGCCUGGGCCUGGCGCGCUCCGUCGGCGUCAGCAACUUCUCGGCCGCCAAGAUGGAGCGGCUGCUGGCGCUGGCCGCGGUGCCGCCGGCCGUGAACCAGGUGGAGCUGAACGUGGGGUGGAGGCAGGAGAAGGUGCGGGAGGUGUGCGCGAGGCACGGCGUGGUCGUCUCCGCCUACUCGCCGCUGGGCGCGUACGGCGCCUCCUGGGGCUCGGACGCCGUCAUGCACAGCGGCGUCAUGCACCACGUCGCCGCCGCCAAAGCCAAGACCGUGGCCCAGGUGGCGUUGAGGUGGGUGUACGAGCAGGGCGUGUGCUUUGUGGCCAGGAGCUUCAACAAGGAGAGGCUCAAGCAAAACAUGGACAUCUUUGUUGAUUGGGAGCUGAGCGAUGAGGACAAGGCCAUGAUCGCCACGAUACCGCAGAAAAGGGCGUGCCAGGGGGACUACUUUGUGUCGCCCGACGGACCUUACAAAUCACUCGAGGAGCUGUGGGACGGCGAGAUGUGA
rnacentral:rRNA from 1 species